UACGUAGGGUGCGAGCGUUGUCCGGAAUUAUUGGGCGUAAAGAGCUCGUAGGCGGCCUGUUGCGUCUGCUGUGAAAUCCCAGGGCUUAACCCUGGGCCUGCAGUGGAUACGGGCAGGCUGGAGGCUGGUAGGGGCAAGCGGAAUUCCUGGUGUAGCGGUGAAAUGCGCAGAUAUCAGGAGGAACACCGGUGGCGAAGGCGGUUCUCUGGGCCUGUUCUGACGCUGAGGAGCGAAAGCGUGGGGAGCAAACAGG
rnacentral:rRNA from 1 species